GAUGAACGCUGGGGCGUGCCUAAUACAUGCAAGUCGAGCGAACAGACGAGGAGCUUGCUCCUCUGACGUUAGCGGCGGACGGGUGAGUAACACGUGGAUAACCUACCUAUAAGACUGGGAUAACUUCGGGAAACCGGAGCUAAUACCGGAUAAUAUAUUGAACCGCAUGGUUCAAUAGUGAAAGACGGUUUUGCUGUCACUUAUAGAUGGAUCCGCGCCGCAUUAGCUAGUUGGUAAGGUAACGGCUUACCAAGGCAACGAUGCGUAGCCGACCUGAGAGGGUGAUCGGCCACACUGGAACUGAGACACGGUCCAGACUCCUACGGGAGGCAGCAGUAGGGAAUCUUCCGCAAUGGGCGAAAGCCUGACGGAGCAACGCCACGUGAGUGAUGAAGGUCUUCGGAUCGUAAAACUCUGUUAUUAGGGAAGAACAAAUGUGUAAGUAACUAUGCACGUCUUGACGGUACCUAAUCAGAAAGCCACGGCUAACUACGUG
rnacentral:rRNA from 1 species